rnacentral:misc_RNA from 1 species
GGGAUAGAUCGCCAAUCUCUUGCUUAAUCUCGCCUCCUGGCAUUGUGGCCAUUGACGGGAACUCGUGUAAUGAACUUUCAUUGAUAGGGGCGUAGUCACUGAAUACUGAUGCAGAGAAUUGACUUAAAGGAGAGACUGGAUGCCCAUAAAUAUCACAUCCUUUGAGAUCUGGACAUGAAUUAUUGACUGCAUUACCAGAUGUCUCGUUCCCUU